ensembl:lncRNA
GGACAAGUGAGACAGGAAUAAGGAUGCUCAGAACCAGGGUUGUGCGGGUUGUGCAUGAACUACAGCCAGCCUGACCAUGUGCUGCAGUCUUGGCCCACCUUCAGCCCCAAUGCAGGCCCUACAACAAUAAAAGAAAGAAGAGUGCCUCAGAGAAGACACAGACAAAAAGAUAUUGGUGAAAACUGCAAGACUUGUUCUUUAAAGAAGAAAUCUGAAUGAAAAAUUUCUGGUCUAAAACUGCAUUUUGAAGAAGAAGUCAUCUUGGAUGGCAUCCAUGCCACGCUCUUCCACUAUAUUUAAAAGUUGUUUCAGAGCCUACCAAACUGCAAAAAGGCAGCAGCAGUGUGCAGAGAAGGCUUGCUACAACUCUGAAGAGAUACUGGAGGGUCCAAGCAGAUCCAACACUCAGUGCUCAGGAGACCUGCUGGCAAAGUCAUGUUUGCACAACACUUUUCUUUACAGUUCUGAUUUAACUGUUUACAAACCAGGCUGCAUGGCAGACAUUACAUCAUUUCUACACUACAAAUGCAACGUUUUCAAUCUUUGGGCAAAUACAUGCAUUGUUGUAGCUGCUUAAACUAAGAGUUUCAUGAAAAUGUCUCCAGACUUGCUGGUAAUGUGUUUCUGUCUCUGUGGGAUGCAGUUAUAAAGGAAAGCAAAAGUGACUUGUUUUCUUUUUCUUUUGGCUGCAGCAUGCUCUUAUUUUCUUCUAUUAGGACCUAGACUGCUGUCACUGAUUACCCUAACAGGCCUGAGGUUGGUCUGUGUGAAGCUUUUUCACCUUCUGUUUAUACGAACAAGGGAAAGAAUUUAAAGUCAGAAGGAAAAACAGCAACAGACUAAAUGGAAAGAGACAGUCUGUCAUCAGCAGAUGGCUGUGAGUCCCCAUUGUUCUGCUGCCCAACCGUGCUCUUGUUCCAGACACCUCUAGGUGAGAUAUUAUGAGAUACUUCAACAUCUGAGGCUGUCCCUGGUGCAGGAUCCCCCACCUGUUUGCAGACAUUCUCCAUCAAAUCAUCCUGGACACCAGAGCAGUAUGUGCCACCACCCCAUGGCUGCUCGGAGGAACCUCUUUGUGGCGAUUCACCAUGCUGGGCACAAUGUUCUUUGCCUCCUCAGUGGUGACCAUUCGCCUUUAGAAAGAAAAAGAAAACGAAUUUCCAUGCUGGGCUUUGAAUCCAGAUUUACAUUCUUUCCCUGCAUGAAGUUGCCCAGCUCUGUCACUCUGUUUUGAUCCAUCGCAGGAGUAAGAUCCAGCAGCUUCCUUCCAAUGGGAACCUGGACCUGAAAGCCUCCCUUCUCCCUUCCCACACCAUCUGGGAGCUAGGAUUUUCCAUCUUUUGUUAAAGUAGUUCCUUACAAAAGGAGGAAAGGGUUGAGGGCAGUUCACUGCCUUUAUUUCACUUGGUAUGUGUUUGCCUUUGCUUCAACACAGGCUUGUUUUCAUGCCAAAUGACAGUUCUAUUUGUUCCCCCACCCCCUUUUUUUUUUGUGUAGCUUAUGUAGAACAUCUGGUUUUAAAAGUGUCGCAAUUUCUAAACAUAUUCUAACGCUCUUGGGAUCAGAAUAUCAACAACUGUCUAUUGCGGUAAACCGCAUGUCUGGAAAACAUUCCUGCAAACUGAGUUCUUAAAUAAACAUAAAGCAUCUAUAACAC